GACGAACGCUUGCGGCGCGCCUAACACAUGCAAGUCGAGCGAUGAAGCUCCUUCGGGAGUGGAUUAGCGGUGGACGGGGGAGUAACACGUGGGUAACCUGCCUUCUAGCGAGGGAUAGCAUUCCGAACGGAAGACUAAUAUCUCAUACGAUUGUAGUUUCGCAUGAAACGGCAAUAAAAGGAGCAAUCCGCUAUGAGCUGGACCCGCGUCGCAUUAGCUAGUUGGUAAGGUAAUGGCUUACCAAGGCGACGAUGCGUAGCCGACCUGAGAGGGUGAUCGGCCACAUUGGGACUGAGACACAGCCCAGACUCCUACGGGAGGCAGCAGUGGGGAAUAUUGCACAAUGGGGGAAACCCUGAUGCAGCAACGCCGCGUGAGUGAUGACGGUCUUCGGAUUGUAAAACUCUGUCUUUGUGGGCGAUAAUGACGGUACCCAAGGAGGAAGCCACGGCUAACUACGUGCCAGCCGCCGCCGUAAAAC
rnacentral:rRNA from 1 species